UGCCAGCCGCCGCGGUAAUACGGAGGGUCCGAGCGUUAUCCGGAAUUACUGGGCUUAAAGAGUUCGUAGGUGGUUGAAAAAGUUGGUGGUGAAAUCCCAGAGCUUAACUCUGGAACUGCCAUCAAAACUUUUCAGCUAGAGUAUGAUAGAGGAAAGCAGAAUUUCUAGUGUAGAGGUGAAAUUCGUAGAUAUUAGAAAGAAUACCAAUUGCGAAGGCAGCUUUCUGGAUCAUUACUGACACUGAGGAACGAAAGCAUGGGUAGCGAAGAGGAUUAGAUA
rnacentral:rRNA from 1 species